rnacentral:misc_RNA from 1 species
GAUGAAGAACGCAGCGAAAUGCGAUAAGUAAUGUGAAUUGCAGAAUUCAGUGAAUCAUCGAAUCUUUGAACGCACAUUGCGCCCGUCAGUAUUCUGGCGGGCAUGCCUGUUCGAGCGUCAUUACGCCCCUCAAGUCCCCUGUGGACUUGGUGUUGGGGAUCGGCGAGGCUGGUUUUCCAGCACAGCCGUCCCUUAAAUUAAUUGGCGGUCUCGCCGUGGCCCUCCUCUGCGCAGUAGUAAAACACUCGCAACAGGAGCCCGGCGCGGUCCACUGCCGUAAAACCCCCCAACUUUUUAUAGUUGACCUCGAAUCAGGUAGGACUACCCGCUGAGCUUAAGCAUAUCAAUAAGCGGAGGA